rnacentral:rRNA from 1 species
UUGACGGGGCCGCACAAGCGGCGGAGCAUGCGGAUUAAUUCGAUGCAACGCGAAGAACCUUACCAAGGCUUGACAUACACCGGUAACGCCCAGAGAUGGGUGCCCCUUUGUGGUCGGUGUACAGGUGGUGCAUGGUUGUCGUCAGCUCGUGUCGUGAGAUGUUGGGUUAAGUCCCGCAACGAGCGCAACCCUCGUCCUAUGUUGCCAGCGGGUCAUGCCGGGGACUCAUGGGAGACUGCCGGGGUCAACUCGGAGGAAGGUGGGGAUGACGUCAAAUCAUCAUGCCCCUUAUGUCUUGGGCUUCACGCAUGCUACAAUGGCCGGUACAAAGGGCUGCGAUACCGCGAGGUGGAGCGAAUCCCAGAAAGCCGGUCUCAGUUCGGAUUGGGGUCUGCAACUCGACCCCAUGAAGUCGGAGUCGCUAGUAAUCGCGGAUCAGCACGCCGCGGUGAAUACGUUCCCGGGCCUU